rnacentral:rRNA from 1 species
UACAGAGGUGGCAAGCGUUGUUCGGAAUUACUGGGCGUAAAGGGCGCGUAGGCGGCCUACUAAGUCAGACGUGAAAUCCCCCGGCUUAACCUGGGAACUGCGUCUGAUACUGGAAGGCUUGAGUAUGGGAGAGGGAUGUAGAAUUCCAGGUGUAGCGGUGAAAUGCGUAGAUAUCUGGAGGAAUACCGGCGGCGAAGGCGGCAUCCUGGACCAUUACUGACGCUGAGGCGCGAAAGCUAGGGGAGCAAACGGG